UACGGGGGGAGCAAGCGUUGUUCGGAUUUACUGGGCGUAAAGGGCGCGUAGGCGGCCACCGCAAGUCGACUGUGAAAUCUCCGGGCUUAACCCGGAAAGGUCAGCCGAUACUGCGGGGCUAGAGUGCAGAAGGGGCAACUGGAAUUCUCGGUGUAGCGGUGAAAUGCGUAGAUAUCGAGAGGAACACCUGCGGCGAAGGCGGGUUGCUGGGCUGACACUGACGCUGAGGCGCGAAAGCUAGGGGAGCGAAACGGG
rnacentral:rRNA from 1 species